ensembl:lncRNA
GUCGGCGCCCGUGCAGCGCGAGCAGCGCGGCCGGGGCCUGCAGAAAGUUUCCGCGGCGGCAGGUGGACGGCAGGCUGGGACCUGUUGCAAUUCCUGAUCGUUCUGGCCGCGUUUCAUCAAGCAGUUGUGACUUGAGAACUGUCCCGGCCCUCGCGCCCCAUAACCACGCGGUUUCCUUGGCCUCCUUUGGCGCUUACGUCCCUUCUCGUCCCCCAGCAAGCUUCCUGCACGGCGAAACCGAGCCGCGUUUUGCGCCCCGUCGGGCGGCGGAAGGGUUAAGUCCCGCUGCGCUGAGCGUUUCGGCGCUCGUUGGCUGCCGGCCCAGCGCUCUCGGUGCCGUAUUGCAUCAGAGCGGGCAGGAGCACCUCGCUGCGCUCCCCCUCUGCGCGCUGUACUUGGAGCGCUUCGCCGUUUCCCACGGCAUGUUAAUUUUUUCCCUCCGUGGUCUCCAGGAUUCCUUCUCACGGGUUUCUUGGAGGAUGUUCUGCCCCGCUCCUCCCACCCAGGUUGAGGGCAGGGCGCCGCUCCGCUCUGCCCUACGCCGGGCGCCUGGAGCCCAUCUUUGCACCUCCGGCACACGGCGAGCCCUCGGUGCCGAAACGCUCCCCGCUCGGUGUCGAAACGUCGCCGCAGAGCAGUCCCGUGCGUUGCCCAGCGAGGUUCCCACCUUGAAGAUCAGAUCUGGAAAUUUCCAGGUGCGGUGUAUUGGGAGUGCAGUUUUCCUACCUCGGUGCUUGAGGGCUGCGACCCUGAAAUGGUGGUGGAAAUCAAGUACUGUCCCCAGCCAGAUAACCUACAGACAAAUUGAGCAGAAUUUGGGCACUUCAGUC